CGGGCAUAUCACGUUGCAACAGAGGUUCUCGUCUGAUCAUCGAAGUUAAGCAACGUCGGGUCUGGCCAGUACCGAGAUGGGUGACCAGUUGGGAAUACCAGAUGCUGUAA